rnacentral:rRNA from 1 species
AACUAACGCUGGCGGCGUGCCUAACACAUGCAAGUCGUACGAGAAAGUCGGCUUCGGCUGAUGAGUAAAGUGGCGCACGGGUGAGUAACGCGUGGAUAAUCUGCCCUUGAGUGUGGAAUAACGUACCGAAAGGUGCGCUAAUACCGCAUAAUGCCUGGCAACACAAGUUGUCCGGCCAAAGAAGGCCUCUGUUUACAAGCUUUUGCUCAAGGAUGAGUCCGCGUACCAUUAGCUAGUUGGUGGGGUAACGGCCUACCAAGGCUACGAUGGUUAGCUGGUCUGAGAGGAUGAUCAGCCACACUGGAACUGAGACACGGUCCAGACUCCUACGGGAGGCAGCAGUGAGGAAUAUUGCGCAAUGGGGGCAACCCGUGACGCAGCAACGCCGCGUGAGUGAGGAAGGUUUUCGGACUGUAAAGCUCUGUCGAGCGGGAAGAAAUGUACCAUGGCUAAUAUCCAUGAUAUUUGACGGUACCG